CUAUUUCUUCCCUUUUCACUUUCUCUUUCCCACCAUUUGCCUGAAGCUCCUCAUCCCCUUCCUUGUGCCUCCUCAGAAUUCUACCAGUGCACCUCAUUCAGACAUUCAUCAAGAAAAAGGCCAGCUGAAGGCAGACAGCCAACAAAACUCAGUCGUUAGCCACAGCCCUGGCUGUCCUCGUCCAUCAAGCCUGCCCAUUGUGAGCUUCCAUUCAUCUUACCUGUCUGUUAUGGAAGAGUGAAGUGGAAAAGGCAUGGAGGACUCAGAAGACCUGCUACCGAGAAGAGCCCCAUUGCAAUCAGAAGAUUAUUUAUGGAAAAAAGCAAAAUGGAGAUAUUUAAAAGACGGAGAGAGACAGCAGAAAGCUGCUUAAGAAAUUGCUUUGAGUCCACAGGAGGGAAGCACAAAGGAGAUGGGAUAAUAGUGUUAUACACUACAUGAUAUCACAGAGCUGGCAGAGUUAAUGAGUAUCUUGGACAAUUGCACCAAAUGCAAUGGAUUGGGAUCACUAAAUCAAGACGUAAUUUGAUAGAAAUAAAGGGAUGGGUUCUUGCUCUGUUACCCAGGCUGGAGCACAGUUGUGCAAUCAUAGCUCACUGCAACUUUGAACUCCUGCGGGGGCUCAAAUGAUCCUCCCACCUCAGCCGCCUGAGUAGCUGGGACUACAGGCAUCUGUCAUCAUGCCCAACUUGUACUUCUUUUGUAAAAUUGUUUCAGUUAUUCUGGGUUCUUUAAAUCACAUGAAUUUUAUGAUCAGCAUGGUAAUUUUGGGGGAAAAAGGCACCUGAGAGUUUGAUAGGAAUUACAUUAAAUGUAUAGAUUAAUUUAUGGAGAAUUUCUCUCUUAAAAAUAUAUAUAUAUUUAAUUUUUAUUUUUAGUAGAGAUGAGGUCUUGCUAUGUUGCCCAGGCCUCUUAACAAUAUUAAGUCUUCCAAUCCAUGAAUACAGAAUGUCUUUCCAUUUAUUCUAUUUACUUAGGUCUUUUACUUUUUCAAUGAUAUACUAUAGUUUUCAGUUGUUAAAUUUUGAACUUUCUUUUUUUUCUUUUUUUUCAGACAGAGUUUCACUCUUGUUGCCCAGGCUGGAGUGCAAUGGCAUGAUCUCGGCUCACUGCAACCACUGCCUCUGCCUCCCAAAGCCAUUCUCCUGCCUCAGCCUCCCGAGUAGCUGGGAUUACAGGCGCCAGCCACCACGUCCGGCUAAUUUUUUGUGUUUUUAGUAUAGAAGGUGUUUCACUAUGUUGGCCAGGCUGGUCUCGAACUCCUGACCUCAGUCAGUUCACCUGCCUCGGCUUCCCAAAGUGCUGGGAUUACAGGCGUGAGCUACCACAACCUGCCUGAACUUUCUUUGUUAAAUUUAUUCCUGGGCCAGGCGCGGUGGCUCACGCCUGUAAUCCCAGCACUUUGGGAGGCUGAGGCAGGUGGAUCACGGGGUCAGGAGAUCGAGACCAUCCUGGCUAACACGGUGAAACCCCGUCUCUACUAAAAAUACAAAAAAAUAGCAGGGCGUGGUGGUGGGCGCCUAUAGUACCAGCUACUUGGGAGGCUGAGGCAGGAGAAUGGCAUGAACCCAGUAGGUGGAGCUUGCAGUGAGCCCAGAUCGCGCCACUGCACUCCAGCCUGGGCGACACAGCGAGAUUCCGUCUCAAAAAAAAAAAAAAAAAAAAAAAAUUAUUCCUGAGUAUUGUAUUUAUUUUUUAUACUAUUAUAAGUGGAGUUGUUUCGUGAAAUAAUUUCAUUUACCUUCAUUCUUUGUGUUACUGUCAUAAAUU
rnacentral:lncRNA from 10 species